AUUUUCUUGCAGGGAGAGUGUAAAUAAUCUGGAAGAAAUACUGCAGUCUAUCACAGAUCCCAAAGAUAGUUUCAUCAUUUGUAUUUUUACAAAUACUUACUGGAUACUAUUCCUUUCUGUGAGGCAAGAACAACCAGCUGUCAUUCUCUAAAAAUUUUCAGAUAUUAAGCACAUAUUCACCUCUGAACUUUAAUGUUUUUUCUACAUCAGCAUUAUUCAGAAUCUCAUCCAGGAACUAUUUGCUAACAAUCUGCAAUGAGAUAAGAAGAUUAUGCCAGGAAGUAAAUCAACACACUGCUUCCUUCACCACGAAAGCCUUGCUACAAAAAAUCAAAUGGCAGCAGUACUGAACAGUGCACUUACUGAUGUAGUUGGUUAACAUUUUGGCUUAAGCUCCUUAUCUUGUCAUGGACAGGUACCGAAUACUCUGGACUGACAGAGGUCGACAAACUAUGCUCUGAGUGGCACUGUUCUGCAGCAAAGUGGUUUUACCCAUAAGACCAUUCAAUUAUAGAAUUUUAGAACUGAAAGAUGUCUUAGACACCAUCUAGUCCAAGUUCCUGGUUUCACAGCCGAGGAUCCUUAGAACCUGAAAGUUUUAGCAAACUUCCCAAAGCCACUUAGUGGUUGUGAUGCAAUAUGAAGUAAAGGCCAACUGUCCUGACUCUUUCCAAUCACCACCAUGCCCUGAAAUUCCUGAAGGAAGCAGAAUUUCCUCUGAGGUUUCUGCUGAGUCAUAUGCAGGCUCCAUCUGAUGUAGAGAUUCAGUAGAAGGGGCCAGGUUGCCUCCUGAUGGGGGCAGCGUGUGGAGGAUGAGCCUGGGCUUACUUGGCAGACAGAUCUGGUCAUGUUCCAGCUCUAUCUCCUACUUGCAGAAUGUCUUCGGGAAAAUUACCUACAUUCUCAAAGCCUCAGAUUCUUGCUUUGUCAACAUUCCUUGAAGAUUGCUAAACUGAAGACUCUGGUGUUCCCUUUUGUGAUAGGGAGAAUAAUAGCCCCCCAAAGAUAUCUACAUCCUAAUCCUUGGAACCUGUGACUAUGUUAUGUCACAUGGCAAUGGGAGACUUGAGGUUCCAGACUGAAUUAAGGUUGAUAAUCAGCUGACCUUGAGAUGGUGAGACUAUCUGGGAUCAUCUGGGUGGGUCCAAUGUCAUCACAAUGUUCCUUAUAAGAGAGAGGCAGGAGAGAAAGAAUCAGAAAGGCGGCAGCAUGAGGAAGGCUCAGCCUGACAUUGCUGGCUUAGAAGAUGGAGGAGUGAGGCCAUGAGCGAAGGAAUGCAGGAAGCCUCUAGAAGCUGGAACACACCCCUGCUGACACCUGGACUUGUACCUAGUGAAACCCAUUUCAGACUUCAGACCUCCAAAACUGUGCAGUAAUAAAGCUGUUUUGUUUUAAGCCACAAAAAAAAAAAAAAAAAA
rnacentral:lncRNA from 1 species